rnacentral:lncRNA from 1 species
CCCCUUAAUCAUUCGUUAUCGAGAGAAAGGAUGAAAGUUCCAUAACAAGCAACAGUUGUUUUGAUGCAAUUAUCGCCUUAUUGGCAAGUUUUUACAUCUUCAAUAUUGAGUACUGCCACACGAAGAGCAUCUUGUCUGCCUUGCAGACUAUAGUAGUGCAUGGGCAACACAGAAAAUGGCAUACAACUGCCAACAGUGAGUUUAAGCAAGUGACGUUUUUGACAACACGGACGUCGACCGGAGGUAAAGUUGACGUUUUUCACCAAUCACAGUCCUUGACCCAGUCUUCUGACGUUGCUCAUGCCGUCAGUGUCGUCAAAAACGUCACUUGCUUAAGCUCACUAAUGAGGGUCACAGCCCUCUUCAAUGACUUGUCAUGACUCAUGAAUAUUAGUACUACAGUAAUUUUACACUUUUUGAGAGUUACGUUGACAUAUGCUAACCCAAGUUAAUGUUAUUGAUGGAAUGUGUGUAUUGUCUCACAUCUCACCGAACUGUGGUAAUGUAUUAGAAAUUAUUCGUAUUGCGUUCACGUUAACAACCGCGCCUGCUAU